rnacentral:lncRNA from 1 species
AAACGGACAGUGGACAGAUUGCAGAGAGCUCUGUGUGCUGAGAGGAGGGUGCAGACCAGAUUUUUAAAUUGAGAAUGCAACAGUGAAGGAUUUCAAGCUUGGAGUGAGAGGGGAGACUACGAGCCUGCAGUGAUAAGGCAAAGCUGAAGAUUUCAGAGCCAAGGCCACACCCUACAGUUGCCAUGGAAUGGGGUGGCACAGUGGGCUUUGGAGAUAUACAGGGAGUCCACGGAGCCUCCCCUGCAAGCAUCAGUACAGAAGUCGAUGAUAAUCUGGAUGCAAGCCCAGGAGUGUGGAGUCCACUGACUCAGAAGACCUGCAUCUAAGGAAUUGGCUGUUCUUAUCCUUAAGAAUGAUGACUGUGUUUCCAAUUCCAGUAGACCCUUUGAUGCGUUCUGAAUAAAUAUUCCUUUUGGAAUUGAACUUCUAGAGCCCUUAACUUUGGCCCACUCUAGUUUUCUGUCUGUUUUUUUUUUUUUUAAUAUUUUUUUUUUGUAAAGAUAAGGUCUUGCUUUGUUGCCCAGGCUGGUCUUGAAUUCCUGGACUCAAGCAAUCCACCUGCCUUGGCCUCCCAAAGUGCUGGGAUUAUAGGUGUGAACCAUUGUGUCCGAUCGCUCUCUGGUUUUUCUAAUAUCAUGAUCCCAACUCUGUUCUUUAUGUAAAUUUCCCUGAUCACAUGGUUGUAUCUUGGCAUUUCAAAAUCCUUGACAGACUUUGUUUUGUUUGAAUUUUACAAUGAACUUACAUGACUAGGCACGGUCCCCAGUUCAGUUUUAUAGACAAGGAUUCUGUAGGUCAAGAAGUGAAACACAACCAAUAACAGCAGGUGACAGGAUUUAAACCUGGGUCACUUUACUUAUUUUUUUCUACUCUAUCAUUAUGUGAAUCUAUCCUACCUCUGCAAUGACAGAUGGCCCUAGAGCAAGAACACUU